UUUAGAGUGGCACAGUGGAAGUGUGGUGAUCCCAUAACCCAUAGGUCCCAGGAUCGAAACUUGGCUCUGAUA
rnacentral:tRNA from 1 species